rnacentral:tmRNA from 1 species
GGGGGUGAUGGGUUUCGACUGGGGUACCGAAAUGAGAGAAGCUGGCCGAGGUCCUGGUUCCUCGUAAAACCACCGGGGCGUUUAAAAUAAACGCCAACGAUUACGCACUGGCCGCUUAAUUUAGUGGUCACGUCCCCUAAGAUUUGCUCAUGGUCUUAGGUGUGGCGUCGCGAGUGAGCUACCUCGCUCCCACUCCCGUAAGGGCGAGGGAAAAAAUGCGGGAUAGUUCUCAAGAGGUUCCCGCCCGUCGGAUUCUUGAGGGCGAAGUUUAAAGGCGGGAUACGCCCGUAGAUGCUCUCGUGGGAGUAUCUCAGGACCGGGGUUCGACUCCCCGCACCUCCACUA